rnacentral:rRNA from 1 species
UACAGAGGGGGCAAGCGUUAUUCGGAAUUAUUGGGCGUAAAGGGCGCGUAGGCGGCUUGGCAAGUGGAAGGUGAAAUCCCUCGGCUUAACCGAGGAACUGCCCUCCAAACUGCUUUGCUUGAGGCCGGGAGAGGUGAGUGGAAUUCCCAGUGUAGCGGUGAAAUGCGUAGAUAUCUGGAGGAACACCGGUGGCGAAGGCGGCAUCCUGGACCGGCAUUGACGCUGAGGAGCGAAAGCCAGGGGAGCAAACGGG